rnacentral:rRNA from 1 species
UACGAAGGGGGCUAGCGUUGUUCGGAAUUACUGGGCGUAAAGCGUAUGCAGGCGGAUCGUUAAGUCGGGGGUGAAAUCCCGAGGCUCAACCUCGGAACUGCCUUCGAUACUGGCGACCUUCGAGUCCGGGAGAGGUGAGUGGAACUCCGAGUGUAGAGGUGAAAUUCGUAGAUAUUAGGAAGAACACCAGUGGCGAAGGCGGCUCACUGGUCCGGUACUGACGCUGAGGUGCGAAAGCGUGGGGAGCAAACAGG